rnacentral:rRNA from 1 species
AUGGCGUUGAGCGACCACCCGAGCUCGUCGACGGAGUACCCGAGCAGCUCUAUGCAGUUGCGCACAACCAUCUCCUCGCGCGCGUGGUUGGACAGGGACGCCAGGCCGGCGACGGCCCCAACGGCGCUCACGGCCUCGCCGAGCGUGUCGCGGAGCGCAGCGCGCAGGACGAGCACGGCCUCGCUUGGGGAGUUGGGGGUGGAAACGGCUGGAGAUUUUUCCAUCCCGGGCCAAAGUUUUCGCCGGCAGCCCCCAAACGGCGAAAAAAGUGCCUCCUACGGGGCUCAACGGCUGAAGAACACAGACGAGUCAAUUAUUUUGUUUUCUCUGCUUACAGAUAUAUGGAAUCCUAAGAUCAGACGAGUCAAUUAUUUUGUUUUCCCUGCUUACAGAUAUAUGGAAUCCUAA